AACAUAUACUCAGAUAGCACAGAAACAUCGUUAAAACAUCUUAAAGAUAUCUGUUCAAGAUAUUGAGGAUAUCUUAUGAAUAUCUGAAAGGUCCUGCGAAUGCCUGAAAUACGUCCUAUAUUGAGGAUAUCUUACGAAUAUCCGAAAGGUCCUGCGAAUGCCUGAAAUACGUCCUAUAUUGAGGAUAUCUUACGAACAUCUGAAAAGUCCUACGAAUGCCUGAAAUACGUCCUGUAAAUAUCCUAUGUUAGAAAACGGGAUGUCUUAAAGAUGCCCUACC